GGAGAUCGACUGCUGGUACUGAGGCAGAUGCGUUGAGGAGCGCUUGCGUGCAACAUCCAGGAAUCGAACGUGUGACACAAACCACUCGGUACAACACCAGCGUUUGAAGGAGAAACAGAGGAUCAGCUGAGUGCGUGCCGAUUGUCCUCUCCCACUGGAGCCAUGGCAGCAGCAGUCCUGAAGAUGUACUUUAUUGGAACCGCGCUGACCGUCUUUGCGGUCAUUUUCAGUGUCGUGAACUCCAUCGGCGGCCUGAUGUACGUCCAGGACCAAAACUACAAUCUGGAUCUUAACCAGCAGUCAAACAGAGAACUCUCGUCAAGAAGCACCCGCAGAAGAUCGUGUGUGGAGAAAGGAAUCAGCUCGUAGUGGCAACAUCUGGACGUACGACAUCGUCUGCUGGAUGGACAUGUUGGACCAAGCAAUGGACCAAGAGAUAGUAACUACAGGAGAUAAUAACUACUGGUUUCAUCGCUGACAAUACACGUCAUCAUGUCUGACUUGGUGGACAUGUUGUGCACGGGACAGUUUUACUUUAGGUGGAUGCAUGUCUGCUAUUCCUACUUUGCAGCAUCUGCUGUAAAACGCAGCUGUGUUUAUUCCCCUGGCAGUCUGAUGACGAGUUGAACUGCACUACUGAACGAUGACCUGCACUAAAUAUUACAAUGUAGUCGUCUUUAGGAAAUAUUCUUUCAGGUCAUUGUGCUUUGUUUUUGUUCUAAAUAAAAUGAAUUGAAUCGAAA